rnacentral:misc_RNA from 1 species
GAAGUGCGAUAAGCAGUGCGAAUUGCAGAACCAUGAGUCAUCAGAUUUUUGAACGCAACUGGCACCGGUUGGCUCUCCAGCCGGUAUGCUUGUUUCAGUGUCUUGUUUUCUCAUCACCCAAAUGUUAAUGCUUGAGAUAACCUUCUCUUGCUAAGUACGAAAGCACUCUGCAGGCAGCCUUGACUUGUCAAGGGUUGCACUCAAUGCAGCAGUCACAUUUUCAAUGUGAACUCAUUGAGAGUAGAGGUAGCGCAGCUUGUCUGCAAGUGCUUAGAUAAUCAAACUUUACUUGUAUCUGAAAUUAAGCAGGAUCACCCGCUGAACUUAA